rnacentral:sRNA from 1 species
CAGGGAUCCUCUCCUCGAAAAAACGCAAAGAUUGAUGUCUUGGGCCCGAACAGAGCCAUUUCUCGAAAUGACAGAUUUUUCGACCUUUUGAGAGGCUUUUUAGCAUAUAUGUAGUAGUGUGGCCUAACAACAAUUUUCAUCCUUCGAGUCUUCAAACCCAAUCUGUUUUCAACCUGUAGACACGGAGAUCAUCAGUGCCUCCAGGUCCCGCCAUCGACGACGAGCCGUGGCCGUCAGGUUCGCUCUUCCGGCGGAUGAUUGAAGAUAAUGUGCCUCCACAUCUCUCCUACAAAUUACAUUCCAAGAAUGUUAUGGAGAUGGAUGCUCUGAUGAUUUCUGGAAGAAUAAGAAUUGCUGGAAGUAGAGUACGCGCAUCGAAGCUUCGGAGGACGGAGGAGAUCAUAGAAGUGGAUAAAAAAUGGGGGCACAUCACUGAUGCUCUGUUUAUUGCUGACGACGAGAGCAUAUCCUGAGAUGCUGAAGAGACGGCAAUUUGUACGAAAAUGGAAUCCAGGAGGAAGCGGACGAGGAUGAUGGCAAUCGUGAAGAUGGUGCCUGGGGAGAUGACGGUGAAGAUGACAAUCAACAUGGUGGUUCCGAGAAAGACAACAACGGAAUUGACAGGGAGGCGAAACGCCGGAUGGAAGAAGCUGACAAAGAACGAAAGGCCAGAAUUAGUCCAAUCGAGAUAAAUAUUCUAGAGGGGAUGGAAGUUUGUAGGAAUGGAAUAAUAGUACCCCACUUCUUCCUCCUACAUAUAGAUCGUCCGUCGUGCGUAUUGUUUGUACGAGAGAAAACAUAAUAGUAAAUUUGAAAUGAAUAUUUAAAAGUAGUAUUUUUUAUU